AGCGAACGCUGGCGGCGCGCCUAAUACAUGCAAGUCGAGCGAGAAGACGUAGCAAUACGUUGGUAAAGCGGCGAACGGGUGAGGAAUACAUGGGUAACCUACCCUCGAGUGGGGAAUAACUAGCCGAAAGGUUAGCUAAUACCGCGUACGCUCCUUGGACUUCGGUUCAGGGAGGAAAGCGAUACCGUGGGUAUCGCGCUCUUGGAUGGGCUCAUGUCCUAUCAGCUUGUUGGGAGGUAACGGCUCACCAAGGCUUCGACGGGUAGCUGGUCUGAGAGGACGAUCAGCCACACUGGCACUGCGACACGGGCCAGACUCCUACGGGAGGCAGCAGUAAGGAAUAUUGCGCAAUGGGCGAAAGCCUGACGCAGCGACGCCGCGUGGGGGA
rnacentral:rRNA from 1 species